GCGGUCGUAGCUCAGUUGGUUAGAGCGCAGGAUUGUGGCUCCUGAGGUCGGUGGUUCAGAAUCCACCCGUCCGUACCA
rnacentral:tRNA from 1 species